rnacentral:rRNA from 1 species
AUUGAACGCUGGCGGCAGGCCUAACACAUGCAAGUCGAACGGUAGCACAGAGAGCUUGCUCUCGGGUGACGAGUGGCGGACGGGUGAGUAAUGUCUGGGAAACUGCCCGAUGGAGGGGGAUAACUACUGGAAACGGUAGCUAAUACCGCAUAACGUCUUCGGACCAAAGUGGGGGACCUUCGGGCCUCACACCAUCGGAUGUGCCCAGAUGGGAUUAGCUAGUAGGUGGGGUAAUGGCUCACCUAGGCGACGAUCCCUAGCUGGUCUGAGAGGAUGACCAGCCGCACUGGAACUGAGACACGGUCCAGACUCCGACGGGAGGCAGCAGUGGGGAAUAUUGCACAAUGGGCGCAAGCCUGAUGCAGCCAUGCCGCGUGUAUGAAGAAGGCCUUCGGGUUGUAAAGUACUUUCAGCGGGGAGGAAGGCGUUAAGGUUAAUAACCUUGGCGAUUGACGUUACCCGCAGAAGAAGCACCGGCUAACUCCGUGCCAGCCGCCGCGGUAA